rnacentral:lncRNA from 1 species
GCCGGUCUGAUUCGCAUAUUCAGGUAAAUGGCUGCUCCGCUGCUGCACCUGCACUUGUCAAUUCUUCCUGCAGUCCCGCUUCAAUCCACAAACAAGCAACUCGAUUCUCAUCCUGUUAUCCUGUAUCCGUGUCGAAUUCAGUCCUGGUCGAAUUGAUGCUCCAGAUUUUUUUUUGCUUUGGUAAUUUGGUUGUGUAAUUUGUGAUUCUAUGGUCUUUGAUUCUAUGAAGGAUUCCCUGUUCGGCUGUUCCCAUCUUUGACAUGUCCACAAUUAUCAUGAUAGUGUUGUACUGUGUCUGACGGCCAGCGGCGAGUUCUUAUUUUUGUGAUGCAAAUUAUCCAUUAUCUUGUAUUACUUCCUAUCUGCAAUUGAUCAACAACUGAGUGAACUGAAUGAUCGAUUCAGCACACAAGCAACUGAGCUCCUUACUCUCUGUUCAUCAUUGGAUCCAAGGCAUGGAUCUUUUGAUAUCCCAAAGAUAAGCACUCUUGCAGAAAAAUUCUAUCCUGCUGAUUUUUCAAGUCAAGAAUUAGCUCAGUUGGAAAGUCAGCUACCUCAUUUUCAGCUAAAUGUGUGCAACCAUCCAGAACUGAUGACCUUGCCAUCUAUUGCUUGUUUAACAAAAGGGCUAGUUAAAACCAGAAAAGCUUCUUCAUAUCCAAUGGUUGACAGGUUGCUGCGACUAGUUAUCACUCUCCCAGUCUCAACGGCAACUGCAGAGCAGGCUUUUUCGGCUAUGAAAAUAUUCAAGACACGUCUUCGGAGUAAAAUGAGAGAUGAUUUGCUUCGCCAUUGCAUGAUAAUUUACAAAAAAAAUUAGCAGCUAAGAUAUCUUCUGAUGAAAUUAUUAAUAUUUUUGAUCUUAUUAGCAGUCGUAGAGGCCACUUUAAAUUAAUAGAAAUGUAAUGAUAUUUUUAUGUCGCUUCAGCAAAACCUUGUUCUAUAUGAUUAUUUUUGUACUGGAUAAUUUUUUUCUUUGCUUGAUUUGGCUUGCCCCUCCCCAUAUCCAAAUCCUGGCUCCGCCCCUGAGGCUAGGCACCACCUUAGGGGAUGGGGGGCAAACAUGGGCAGACAGUUGAGAUCCCGCAAAGAAUCCUUGCUACUGGAAAUAAGAUUGCUCGAUGCUAAGGCAGAUGGGGCCGGGCUUUCGGCGGAUGAAUGGGCUAGGAGAUAUGUGGUCGAGGACGAAAUGAUUUUUAUCUUGACCUGUGAAGAGAUGUAUUGGAAGCAGAGAGGGCAACAACGGUGGAUACUUAAAGGUGAUGCCAACACAGAUUACUUUCAUGUGAUCGCGAAUGGGCGCCGUAGGAGGUGCACAAUUAGGUGCCUUCGAGAGGGAGACAGAACUUUUGUUGGAGAGGACGAGCUUAGGUCGCAUAUAGACGGGUUCUAUAGGCAGUUACUGGGAUCCACAUCUGGUGGCGCAGCUACCAUGGGCCCCAACAUGUGGGGACCCGAGGGGAGGGUGUCCAGGCAGGACAAUCUGGAACUAAUCUGCCCUUCUUUGUUAUUACAAAUAACCAGAGAUUUAAAAGCAAUGAAGGGUGACACGGCACCAGGACCUGAUGGUUUUCCGGUGACGUUCUACAAGAAGUUUUGGAACUUGGUGGGUCCCUAAUUCUUCCAAAUAGUUCAUGAUUUCACUCGCGGUCUGAUUGAUGUGAAGCGGCUAAACUAUGGGGUGUUGGCCCUAUUGCCAAAAGUCUAGGGCGCGAACAAUAUCCAUCAAUUCCGGCCGAUCACCCUUAUCAACAUGAGUUUUUGACUUCUCGCAAAGGGGUUCACGACUCAUCUAUAUCCCGUGGAUAACAAAAUCAUUGACCAAAAUCAAACUGCCUUCAUCCGUGGGAGGAGCAUUUUAGACGGCAUUGCGGUAUUGCAUGUGGUUCUACAUGAAAUCAAAUCUACUAAGGAAGAGGUGGUCAUCCUUAAGAUCGACUUUGAGAAGGCAUAUGAUAGAGUAAGAUGGGAUUUUAUAGAGGAGGUGAUGAGAGCGAAGGGUUUCGAUCCCUUGUGGAUUAGCUGGAUGCGGCAAUUGAUUCAAGGGUGUCAGACGACAGUCAAUCUCAAUGGGGAGAUAGGCCCAUUCUUUAGGAACAAGCAGAGUAUGGCAGGGUGACCCGAUCUCCCCACUUCUAUUUAACAUUUUGGCGGACGCGUUGGCAUCCAUUCUGGACCAUGCCAAGGCGGCAGGUCAUAUUAGCGGGGUGGCAGUGAGUAUAAAUCCGGGAGGGAUAUCGCUUCUCCAAUAUGCGGAUGACACAUUAAUAUUCAUCAAGAACUCGGAAAGGGAUAUAGUGAAUCUCAAAUUCAUCUUGAUGUGUUUAGAGGAGAUGUCAGGUCUAAAAAUCAACUUUGAGAAAAGUCAGGCGAUAGUAACUGGGGGAGAUUCGGAGUCGCAACUUAGGGUGGCCCACAUGAUGAAUUGGGAAUUGGGAUCCAUACUGUUAAAGUAUCUGGGUAUGCAUGUAUCCGUGAGAGCCUUAACUAUGGGGGAAUUACAACUAGUAGUAGAGAAAACAACGGCGCGAGUGGAGCCAUGGCAAGGAAAGCUUCUAGCCUCUAGUGGGCGCUUGGUACUGAGAAACGAUUGCCUGACAAACAUCCCAAUGUUUGUGAUGGUUUUUUACCUCCUCCAGGACGGAAUCCAUGCAAAACUAAAUAAAGUUCAAUCCUAUUUCUUCUGGGCAAAAUAGAAUGGGAAACAGAGGUACCAUAUGGUUAGUUGGGAGAACAUCUGUGAGCCUAAGGAGCGAGGUGGGCUUGGAGUGAUCAACUCCAAAAUAAUGAACUGGUGUCUCAUGACUAAGUGGGCGUGGAAAAUUCUAACCGGCCGAGGGGGCCUUUGGUUAGAUAUAUUCAGACGAAAAUACUUGGAUGAAGGAGGGGUGGAAUUUAGGAGAAAUGCUAAAAUGUCGCAAUUAGUGAGGGAUGUUAAGAAAGUACAACCUAUUCUUAGGCUAGGGACUAGGUUUAAUGUGCGCAAUGGCAAAGCAAUGUGCUUCUGGCUGGACAUUUGGUGCGAGGAUAGAAGUCUCCGAGAUGGUUUUCCGUCUCUAUUUGUGAUUGCCAAAAAUCAAAAUGCCAAAGUGGCAGAGUGUUGGAGGCAGGGACAGUGGUCUCCAUGUUUUCGGCGUCCAUUAGGGAACGCAGAAAAUCCCGAGUGGGAGGAGCUUCGGGAUAAGUUGAGAGGGUAUAAUCUGAGUCACGAAAAGGAUGAGGUUGUUUGGCGACUUGAAUCGUUUGGUCAAUUCUCCACAGGAUCAUUGUACAAGGAGAUUUUCAAAAAUUCGACCCCACAUGACUUGUCAGGGUUGUGGGGAGCGCGAUACCAUCCAAAAUCAGGAUCUUCUUAUGGCAAGUCGCCCGUAACAGAAUCACAAGCGGGGAUCAGAUCCAAAAACGACACGGCCCGGGAGAUGGCAGAUGUGUGUGGUGUGGCGAAAGUGAAGACCGGGAUCAUAUUCUGUUCCGAUGCAUUAUGGCUAGAUUUAUGUGGAGUGCAGUACGCUCGGCAACUGGGUCCAUGUGGAACCCAAGUGGGUUCUCAGAAUUUUACCAGCUUGCAGCCGCUACGUCUGGGAGGGAUAAGAUGAUGACAUGGCUAGGAUUUGGAGCCCUAGCAUGGUCUCUUUGGACUACUCGAAAUAAAGCGCUAAUAGAGGGAGUUUUUAUCAGACAUCUGGUUGAUAUGUUAUAUAAAAUGGUGUCUUUCCUGCAGCUAUGGAAGCUUCUGGCAAAACGACGAGACAGAGGACUCGUGGAGGAUCUCGUCAGAAGGGUGCGGGCAAGGUGCACUGAACUUCGACGCACAUCAUAGGGCUCAGAUACCAGACGUCUACAUGGCGCCCUUGCUACCUCGAGAGCCACCGUUGGUCACUUAGCCUUUACUAGCGCUGCGCCGCUAUGUAUCCGCCUAUGGGCUUGUACCUUUUUGUUAUCGCUUUGGCACGCUUUAGUUUCGCUUUGUAGUUAAUAUUCGGUCCUGACCGUUGGGCGGGAUUGUUGGACUCGUAAGGGCCUCAUUCUAAGGCCGGGCAAGCGCCUCCUUUUUAAAAAAAAUAUAAAAAGGGUCUGUACCUUGCACUGGUGGCACAAAGCGUCUCCCGGUGGCUGUUUUUUUAAAUUAGUUAUUAAGGUUCCUUCACGCCUUGCAAGACAAGUGUUGCU